rnacentral:rRNA from 1 species
GACAGAGGUGCCAAGCGUUAGGCGGAAUCACUGGGCUUAAAGCGUGUGUAGGCGGAUGUCUAAGUACCUUGUGAAAUCCCACGGCGUCAACCGUGGAACUGCUUGGUAUACUGGAUGUCUUGAGCCACUUAGGGGUUACCGGAACAAAUGGUGGAGCGGUGAAAUGCGUAGAUAUCUGGAGGAACACCGGUGGCGAAGGCGGCAUCCUGGACCGACACUGACACUGAGGAGCGAAAGCCAGGGGAGCAAACGGG